GUUUGGACUGGAGGGCGAGGCACCCGGCGACCGUGCCCUUUGACUUGACCUCUGAUCCUACGAGCGGGUAGGCUGCAGGACCAAGAGGCGUCCUGAACUCGCGCACACCCACCAGGCACUUCUGUUCGGUUGGGUUCUCCUGCCCCCAUCUGGGAAGGGUCCAUAAAAGCCUUUCUCUUCCUUCCCACCUCAAAACCACUAAUUCAUUGGACUCCAGAGGUUCUGGGUUGAACCCCGAGCCAGUAUUUCCCCUUGUCUCCAAGGAUCAAACAACGCCAGCCGCGAAAAAGAGGCGUCUCCUUGCACCACAUUUUGGACCCCACCUCACCCACCGAUUGAGGACUAUGAAUUAGAAACACCUGGAACCAUCGAGCAUGGACUAUCUGUGGAGAGGACGGGAGACGAAGACAUUAUGGGGCCCGUUGCUGAUAUUUCAAAAUAGUUCACCUGUCUCUGGUUACAGGUUUUACUUCAGGGAGGAAAUAAGACACCAACAGAGAAAAAUGAACAUUUGUCACCUUCCAUGUGUUGUCGAGUGUCAGCUUGGUACCUCACAGCAGCUAAGGAUGUAUGUUGAACCGGGCUUGGGAUUGAGUUAUUUUACUGUGGUUAGACCUGCGACUUUGCUUAUACGUGUUACAUAUUCUAUCUGAACCUGUUCCCUUACUCGUAAAAACAUUUCAUGCUUCUGUGCAUUAGAUGAGACAAGUAGAAAUGAUAUUUUUAUGAAGCAUAGUUGAGGGUUAAUAAAGAUGUUUUAAAGUCCACUUAAGCAUGAGCGUUAAGAGCAAGACAGACUCCCAGAAGAAAAUGGAGCACCCCAGAAAGUGUGGGUGUGGACUUUGUAAAGAGCAGCAGAAAGUAAGGUUUUCUCAAAUGCAUGUUCAAGAUCCUCACUAGAGAAUUGCCAUAGGCUGCUGCUUGCUCUCCACAAACUCAUAAUCAGGGCCUAUUGCCGAAGACAACACUUACAAAUCCCAUUAAACACAGGGAGGUUGAGCUGGUGUCUAACGAGAGCCUUCAUACCUGCUGACUACUGUUCACAGUUCUGGAAGGUACUCAAGGUAAACACCAACACCUCUACAAAACCUCCUGUAUACAGUGAUGAUUUGCCUCUAUGAUACGCUGGUGCGAUGGUGGCAUAUACAUUGUAGGAGUAACCAACCACUGUCGGAUUGGAUUUAAGGCCCACUCCAUGAGACGGAACCCAUGCCUGACAUUGCUCAUAUGGCCAUGAACCUGAAGGUAGAUGAGUCAUGGACCAGGUGAAAACCAAACUGCUAUUC
rnacentral:lncRNA from 1 species